AACGAACGCUGGCGGCGUGCCUAACACAUGCAAGUCGAGCGAGAAAGCCCGCAAGGGUGAGUAAGGCGGCGCACGGGUGCGUAACACGUGGGUAAUCUGCCCUGAAGUCCGGAAUAACUCGCCGAAAGGCGUGCUAAUGCCGGAUAAGACCACGGGAACCUCGGUUCCUGCGGGAAAAGGUGGCCUCUGUACACAAGCUAUCACUUCAGGAUGAGCCCGCGGCCCAUCAGCUAGUUGGCGGGGUAAUGGCCCACCAAGGCUACGACGGGUAGCUGGUCUAAGAGGACGAUCAGCCACACUGGAACUGAGACACGGUCCAGACUCCUACGGGAGGCAGCAGUGGGGAAUCUUGCGCAAUGGGCGAAAGCCUGACGCAGCAACGCCGCGUGUGUGAUGAAGGUCUUCGGAUCGUAAAGCACUGUCGGGAGGGACGAAUAGGGCGCCGGCUAACAUCCGGCGCUGAUGACGGUACCUCCAAAGGAAGCACCGGCUAACUUCGUGCCAGCCGCCGCGGUAACAC
rnacentral:rRNA from 1 species